rnacentral:tRNA from 1 species
GCUUUAUAAGUAUAGUGAGUAUAUCUGAUUUCCAAUCAGGGGGUUCUUGUUAAUAGUCAAGAAUAAAGUAC